CAGGACAUGAAGCGAUACAGAGGAAGCAGGAAGAAAAAGAGACCGACACAUGGUGGACUUUUCCGACGCAUGGUGGACUUUUCCCGGAGUACCGAUGUGGUGAUGCUUGACUGACAAAGACUGGGGGAAACGGUGUUUUAUGUCCUGCCGCGAUGUGUAUAUGUGAACUAGCUCAGCUAGCUCAAAGAUUUCUAUGUGCUGCCUUUCUGAUAUGUUUGCUGCCAUCAUGUCAGUGAAACAGGAUCACAGCUGAAGAAGAGGCUACAAGAGGUUUCCCGACUCAUUUCACGCACACACAUCAACCACAGCAUUAAAACCACCUGCUUAACUUUGUGUAGAUCCACCUGGUGCCAUCAAAACAGCUCUGGAGUGUCGAUGGUACAAGCAAGAGUACAGCUGCAUGCCUGUCCAGCACAUUCAUCCUCCCCACCUCAAUGUUCUUGCCUUGAGUACAAUCUCCAGAGCUGAAUUUGGAUUGGACCAGGCCAAACUACCGCCUCCAAUCACGGUGUCAGGUGGAGUUCAAAAGGCUUACUCAUGCAGCGGUUGGCGGCAGUUUUUAUUCGGAGAGAUUGAGCGGCCUGGUGUAUUUUGUGAACAUUUGUGUUUGUGGUUGGGGUGCGUGUGGGGGUAAUAGCAAGCCAGGGAUCUCUGACUUGAGAAGAAACACUACUAGAGAAUUCUUUGUUAGUUUUCAGAUAGGGAUGUUGCAGCUGUGUUUUUGGUUUAGAGUUUUCUUUGUUUUGGUUGUCUUUUGUUUCUUUCAGUGUUUGUAAUAUCAGCUUCUGAGCAAAGUUUGCUUUCUGUUUUGUUUAUCUUGUUUUGCUUCCAUAGCACUCAUUUGCUUUGAACCCCCUCACUUUCUGUUGUUAUGCCCAUACCCCCUUUCACAACAACAAAAAAAAAACACUUAGAGAGCGCAGUACUCCGCCAAGGCAGCUCAGCUGUCUCAUUUCCUACAGCUGAAAUCUGGAAUAAAAAAUCAUGGUAAAAAUCAUGGCACCAUAGAAUGUGAUCAUUUAAUAUAGAUGUACCCACAAACAAAAUGACGUUGUGUUGAGCACAGGCUUGUGUUAUGCAUGUGUACAUUAUGUACGGAUACCGAAUUGCGUGACCUAAAUAUGCAGAGGGCGGUGGGAAUUGAUGGGACUUGGAAACACCCCCACAAUUUAAUCAGUUGUUCCUUGUAUGAUUUCCAACAGAUAAGUCCCGAUAAGUCUGCAACGGUGGAUUUGUAGUAGGAUCACAAUCAUGUGAUCGUCAGCAGGCAGCUAAUGUGAUGUUCUCUUGUUGUCAUAGUUACAGUGAUGCUGUGCCGCUAUCUCGCAAUGAUACAGAAAUCUUUAACAAAUCUGUGGAUCCAGACUACAAGCCACGUCACUGCCAAAAUUGAAUCAGUUGGUCCUUGUGUCAUUUCUGACCUUCCCUGAAAAUUUUAUCCAAAUCCAUUAAUUUUUGAGUAAUGCAAACAGACAGACACCUAUCAUACACUCUGGAACUCAGUGUUUGUGUUACUUUCUUUUUGUU
ensembl:lncRNA